AGCUCCAAGAGCGUAUAUUAAAGUUGUUGCGGUUAAAAAGCUCGUAGUUGAAUUUCUGUUGAGGCUGACCAGUCCACCCUCUGGGUGAGUACAUGGUUUGGCCUUGGCAUCAUCUUGGAGAAUGCUACUGCGCUUGAAUGUGUGGGGUGGUAUCCAAGACUUUUACUUUGAGGAAAUUAGAGUGUUUCAAGCAGGCACACGCCUUGAAUAUAUUAGCAUGGAAUAAUAAGAUAAGGCCUCUGGCUUAUUUUGUUGGUUUCUAAAUCAGAGGUAAUGAUUAAUAGGGAUAGUCGGGGGCAUUCGUAUUUAACUGUCAGAGGUGAAAUUCUUGGAUUUGUUAAAGACGAACAACUGCGAAAGCAUUUGCCAAGGAUGUUUUCA
rnacentral:rRNA from 1 species